rnacentral:lncRNA from 1 species
AGGUGUACAUGGGCCCCGGAGGCCACCACCAGUGGCGCCCCGUCAAGAAGGACCCCUCUGACCCGGAGGAGCUGCCGGACAUCAUCAUGCUCACGGCGGACGUCGCCCUCACCCGGGACCCGGCCUACCUCGAGAUCGUCAAGCUCUACGCCUCCGACUUGGGCGCCCUGGAGCGCGCAUUCAGCCAUGCGUGGUACAAGCUCACGACCCGCGAUAUGGGCCCAUACACGCGCUGCCUGGGCAGUCAGGUGCCUCCGCCGCAGCCCUUCCAGGCGC